UUACACUCUAUGUGUGGCGGCACUUCCCCGGGGAAAUAUAUAUACAUGUUCACAUUUACAACUGUGCUCCGUGUGUUUUUUUGCAUGGGUCUGAACGCAAACUGCAGACGGGCUGAUUGAAAAUGCAAAUUCAUUCUCUGCCAGCAGGAGGCACUUUGGGAACGGCAGAAAUUUGGUUCCCCCAGUAACGGCUAAUGUGAUUCAAGCUUUUAAACAUGGGAAAUGAAUCACUUCCACUAAUUCAGUGACCACAUUUAGAUGACGGAGUGAAUGUGCAUAACCUGAAAAAUAAUGUGGUCAACUCUUUGGUGACUUGUACCUAGAGUGGUGGAAAGGGAGGGACAGCCACAUGUCUUUACGAAAAGCAAGACACCCCCUCCCGACUUCAGUCACUCGCUCCUCUUCCUGUCUAAGGAAAGGGAGGAAGAAGGAAACGGGGAUUAAAGCUUGCAUAGAAAGAGUGUGAGACUAAACUGAUGCUUUCUUCUAUCGCUUUUCUUCUUCCUUCGGCCCAAAUAAAAGGUGUGAUAACCAAGAUGGGUCCAGUUCUGACUGAGGUUAAUGUGAAGGGACCCCAUGUCUUCCAGAUGUCACAUGACACCAAGCAAGGAGUAGUAUCAGUCUUGUGCUGGUUUGGAGGCUGUCCUGAACUACACCUGUGGUUUACAUGCCUUACAAACAGUCUAAACUGUGCAUCUUGUUUUUUUUUUAAAGCUGCUUUGAAUCAAUGGUGAGGGUGAAACAAAGGCCAUGAGAUUAACGGUGAGGGUUUUUAUGAAGUACAUGACAUCUAAUAACGGUUCCAGUCGCACUGUCAUGAGAAACAAAGCAAUUAGAUCUCACCAAUUGCAUAAUGUGAGAGAGCAUUAUUCUUGUCAUGAUUUUUCUCAAUUCAAUGUUUUAAUUUAGUGUGGUUUAUUAUUGAAAAAAUAAUAUGCGGUUAAAUUAAGAAAUUAUCAUUCUGUAUCAUGCAAUUAAUUUUAUUUUUAUUUAUUAAAAGUUUGUGUUUGAAAGAAGAUUCUUAGAUUCAUCAAUGCUGAUUUUUUUUAUUACUGUAAAAAGUAAUAUUGCGAAAUAUUUUUACAAUAUAAAAUAACUGUUUUCUGUUUUAUUAUAUUUUAAAAUGCAAUUUAUUUCUGAGAUGCAAAGCUGUAUUUUCAUCAACCAUUACUCCAGUCUUCAGUGACACAUUCAGAAAUCAUUCUAAUAUGAUGAUUCAUUGCUCAAGAAAAGUUUUGGACUUUUUGGUGUGUAUAAAUACAAUUUUUUUUCUGGAAUUCUGCACACAAAACUUUUUAUUUUCAAAUCUGGAAACUCAGUUUUGGGAUGAAGGAUUUUACAACAAAUUCAAACCAGUCAGUCACUAGGCAACUCUGAAUCAAUCAAAGCUUGCUGUACCAGACAGCGAGCUUAAGGGGCCCAUCGCUUGUUUUUGAUGUGGAAACACAGAACAUUUCAAAUUGCCAUGAAUCAGAUCAUUGCAAGAAACAUCUUUACCACUGCAUUUGUGCAUUUCCAGGAGAAGGAUUACAGGAAAGUGAUUUUGUCGUAAUCAGAUUCAGGCAGGAUUUGAGGGGCUUUAGCAGCCCUCCGAAGAGUAAUUCUCUCCGUGACGUGAGCAGACAUUAAGGAAUGUUUAGCAAAUUCGAAUUCUGACAAAUUAUGUUUAAAUCUCAGUGAUACUAAAUAUUUUGUGGCUGACUGUGUGUGUCUUUGGCCGGUUUACAAUGAGCACGUGUGUUUGUUUAUUUCUGGGAAGAGGGUCAGAGCGGGCAAUCGUGAGGAUCUUGAAUCUGCAGCAUUGCCCUGGCUGACUCUGUCAAGAAACAUUAUGCUUGGAGCUCGGCCCUGUUCAGAGAGCAGAGGGAGUAACAAAUCCUUCACGCGACAAAACUCCCUGAAGGCCUUAUGAUGAGUCAUAAACAAUGAGUUUCAGCAAAAAAGCAUGAUAUUUAUUUAAAGUUGCACUCAGUCCCAGUUGAUUUAGACCUCAUACUGACACCUACUGGUGUGGAAGCAUGAAGUUGUUUACUAACUUCUGCUGUGACCGUUGUGCGUUUGUGCUCCGCGUUUGACAUCCCACCCUUUAUACUUGGAUUGUGGCAUGAGAGCUGCGUCGCAAUUUUUUCCAGCGUUCCAGUGGGAAAACUGUUUGUUUGGACAUUUUAUUUUUCCACUGGACUGUCUGGUCGCGUACAUGCCAAUCCAUCACUUCAGACUCCGCUGUUGACUCAGGCUCCAUUGUUAUGUUGUGUCUGUGGUUUGUAUAUUGUAUAUGUUGUUAUAUUGUUUCAUUUGCUUGUUCUGUUUAGAUGUACUUAGAUGUUUAUGCUUUCUAAAGCGCCUUGAGCUCUGAAAGCGAUAUGUAUUAAGCAAACAUGUUGUUGUUACAACAAACUAGUCAUGUGAUCUCAAUACGGCGGUGGGCAUGAGCCGCAGACCUGUUUUAUAAAGAAUAAAACAGCUUUUCUAGAAGACUAAAAUGACUUG
ensembl:lncRNA